ACAUCCUUUUUUCCUGUCCCAAACUCCUCCGUCCUAUAUAUGACAUCCUUCCCUAUGAUAUUCCCCGCCCUAUAAAUGUUCAAUGUUUGUUGAUGUUAAGGUGUAACAAUAAAAGUCUUACUAUUUUGCCUGUUUUCAAAAUUAAAUUGAGACUGUUAUCUCAA